GAGAUCUAGUAUUGUUUCCUGCUAAUUCUGCAGGUAGGCGUGGAUUUUCCACAAACAAAAGUCACAGAUGUUCACCCAGUUAGGAAUUGCCAUGGAUUCCAGUAUCAGCCCUCUCCAGACCCUGCAGGUCCCAAACACUUAAUAAAACAAAACAGGCCAGAGAUCAAGUAUCAGAGUGAAAGAGGAAAGCAAAGUGAACUGGAGGAAUCAUUCCUAGUCUCCACCCCAAUGAUUUAGGUUUUCAGGUGAGCCCAGGAUCUGUCUUUUUAAUUUGGGGGGAUGCUUCUGCUGCAGCAAGACUUGGGAGGCUGUGGCCUGAAUGACCCAUAAACUGGAAAAUUGGCUCCUGUAUCCCAGGUGGCUUUACUUUAAAGAAUAAAGUAAGCAGAUGGUUAGGCCCACAGAAAGGUGGAAAGAACCCUUCCAAGGACCCAGCAGCCCUGAGUUUCAUACCCUCACUGCACAGUGUUAACCAGUCAUUAAUCCCUAUGACCUCAGUUUUCUUAUCUCUGACAUAAGAAAAUUGAACAACCUAAUCUCUUAUUGUUUCCUAUUAUGAAUUUAUCUGAUUCUGUGAGACCUGAAUUUCUUAUUCUUCAGUGAGGGUAAUGAUAUUUUGAAAGGGCUUGGGAUCAGUCCCCAGAGAAAAGAGUUGUGAAAUUUUUAGCAUCUCCUCCUGAUUUCAUGAAUUUGACAAGACCUUUCAUCUAGUUCUCUCAUCUUUCUUCCCCUCUGCUAUUCAAGGGAUCUCUGACCUAGAGGCAGUUCCCUCUCUGCUCAGCUCUCAGAAAUCUCUCCUCUGACUGUUCUUACUGACUGUCCCUAGAAACUUGGAAUCAUAGGUUUCAAACCUGGCAGGGUAUUAGGGUCACUUGGGAAACUUUUAUAAAAUCCUGGUGCCCCAAACAAUUGAAUCAAAUUCUUGUUGGGGGAGGAGGCUUAGGCAUCUGUGGAUUAUUGUUGUUAUUGUUAGUUAGUUAGUUAUUUGUUUGACUCUAGACAGGAACUGGCUAAGUUGCCUGGCUGGUCUUGUACUUGUGAUCUGCCUGCCUCAGCCUCCCAGAGAGCUGGGAUUAGGGCAGGGAAUGGUGGUUGGCACAAGAAACUUGGAGCUACUGAGCAGGGAAAUCUCAGAGCUGGGUUUCCAGGUUCCUCUUCACCCAAGUAAAGGCAGCAAGUCUGAAGGAUUGAGUUUUCUGCAUUCACAGGUCUUUUUUGCUGUGGCCUACUGCCAACGGUUUAGAUACAUCAGAUCAAUUUUUUACAGGACCAAGCAUCAAAAUUACUGAAGUGAAAGGAAAAGCCAAGCCAAGUGGCACCACCAUAUACUUACUAGUUGACCUAAGUGAAGUCUUAUUAGACUUCUGAUUUGCAACGUGAGGCUGGCAUUUCUCUUCUACCAUAUAGUGUGGUUAGGUGGAUCUAAUGAGAUAACAUAUGUGAGUUUGUUCUGUAAAAUAUAAAAUUCUAUGCAAAUUGAAUGGACUUAAGUACUUUAUAUGUAAAAAGAAUUUCCAUAUUUAAAAAAUGAUAUCAAUUAUUUACAAAUUAAUCUAUAGAUUAAAAGUAACACCAAACCCAAUUAAAAUCCCAGAAGCUUUUUUAUAGAAAUUAACAAGAUGAUUCUAUAAUUUACAUGAAGACUCAAAGGACCUAGAAUAGCAGAAUAGUUCUAAAAAGGCUGUAAAAACUUGAAAUAUAUUUCCUGAUUGCAAAGCAAGAGUGCUCAAGAUAGUGUGGUAUCAGUGCAAAGAUAAGAUAUGGUUCAGUAAAAUAGAAUAGUAGAUCUAAAAAUCAGUUCAUAUACAUAUGACCAAUCGAUUUUUGACAAAGUUGCUAAGGCAAUUCAAUGGCAAAAGAAUUUUUUCAACAAAUGGAACAAAGACAUAAAUAAAAGAGCUGUAACUAUAGAACUACUAGAAGAAAACAGAACAAUCUUAGGGUAAGACCUUGGGUUAAGAAAUAACUUAUUAAGUGGCAUACAAAGUGCAAAAAGUAAUAAAUUAGAUUUUACCAAAAUUAAAAACUUCUGUUCUUCCCAAAUAGUGCUAAAAUAUCAAAAUGUAAGCCAUGGACUGUGAGAAAGUAUUUACAAAACACAUAUCUGACAAAGGAAUUUUAUUUGUAUUAUAUAAUGAAUGCUUACAAUUCAAUAUAAAAACUCAACUUUUAAAAACUGAGCAAAAGACUAAAAAUAUACUUUACCAACAAAGAAAUAUGUACAGCAAAUGCAUACGUGAAAAGAUGUUCACCAUCGUUAGUCACAUACCAUUGCACAUCUACUGGAAUAGCUAAGAUUAAAGUGACUGACAAGUAAUGGAAUCUGAAUUUCCUGUGCAUUGAUGGUCAGAAUGAAAAAUGCUAUGGUCAACUGGAAAAAGUUGGGCUCAUUUCUUAGAAAAUUCGAUGGGCACUUCCCAUAUGCCCCAGGAAUUCCACUUCUACCACAUGUCCAUAAUGAUUUACUUGCAAACUUUCUUAGUUCUGUUCAUAACAGCCCCAAACUAGACACAAAUUCUAAUCAAGUAGUGAAAAGAUAAAUAAUGGAAUAUGAUUUAGAAAAAGGAAUGAACUGGAGGUUUAUGCUUCAGUGUGGAUGAAUUGCCAAAUUGUUAUACUAAUAUAGUGAAAAGCCAGACACCAAGGCUCUCUACUAUUUGAUUUCAUGUAUAUGAAAUUCCACAAAAGGCAAACUGCACUGAUAGAAAGUAAAUCAGAAGUUACAAAGGGUUAGGGGGCAGGGUAAGAAGAGGGAAUUAAACGCAG
rnacentral:lncRNA from 1 species